UACGUAGGGGGCAAGCGUUGUCCGGAUUUAUUGGGCGUAAAGAGCUCGUAGGCGGCUGCUCAAGUCGAAUGUGAAAACUCGAGGCUCAACCUCGAGCCUGCAUUCGAUACUGGGCGGCUAGAGUCUGGUAGGGGGAUCUGGAAUUCCUGGUGUAGCGGUGGAAUGCGCAGAUAUCAGGAGGAACACCGAUGGCGAAGGCAGCUCGCUGGGACGGUACUGACGCUGAGACGCGAAAGCGUGGGGAGCAAACAGG
rnacentral:rRNA from 1 species